CUAAUAUGGAGAGUUAAAAGGAAAAACUGUUGUAGUUCAUUUCAAUUGAAAAUUGAGAUUUCAUCAUCAAUAUAUGUCUGAUGAAUCGGAAAUACCAAAGUUUCGGAAACUGUUAGAACAACUUGGAGAACUUUUGGAUAUGCUCUUUCAAGUGGACCAAUGAUGUAAAAGUGGCUUAGAAAACUGAAAAUACGAUGAAAUGUUCAUGAUCGUUGAAUUAAGCCACAAAAACUUAUAUGACAGUAUUUCAAUUAAGAUUAAACGUAUACAUUUUUAAACAAAUUGGAUUUAUAUAUAGGAAAACACUAAUUAAAGGAAUACUGUAAGCCCUGAUUAUAUUGCCACGUCGGCGAUUUCUCCUUCACACGAAUUUUCAAGCAUACUAGUACUUUAUCUGUGGCAAAAUA